rnacentral:rRNA from 1 species
UAAUACGGAGGGUACAAGCGUUAAUCGGAAUUACUGGGCGUAAAGCGCGCGUAGGCGGUUAAGCAAGUUGGAUGUGAAAGCCCCGGGCUCAACCUGGGAACUGCAUUCAAAACUACUUAGCUAGAGUACGAGAGAGGAGAGUAGAAUUUCUGGUGUAGCGGUGAAAUGCGUAGAUAUCAGAAGGAAUACCAAUGGCGAAGGCAGCUCUCUGGCUCGUCACUGACGCUAAGGUGCGAAAGCGUGGGUAGCAAACAGGAUUAGAUACCCUGGUAGUCCACGCCGUAAACGAUGAGAACUAGCCGUUGGGAGGAAUUAACCUUUCAGUGGCGCAGCUAACGCAUUAAGUUCUCCGCCUGGGGAGUACGGCCGCAAGGCUA